rnacentral:tRNA from 1 species
AUUUGGGUAGCUUAACUAGAGCGUAAUAUUGAAGAUAUUAAGGUAACAGGAAUGUUCUCAAGUA